CAGCAGCCGCGGUAAUACGGAGGGUGCAAGCGUUAAUCGGAAUUACUGGGCGUAAAGCGUGCGUAGGCGGUUCGUUAAGUCUGUUGUGAAAGCCCCGGGCUCAACCUGGGAAUGGCGAUGGAUACUGGCGAGCUAGAGUGUGUCAGAGGAUGGUGGAAUUCCCGGUGUAGUGGUGAAAUGCGUAGAGAUCGGGAGGAACAUCAGUGGCGAAGGCGGCCAUCUGGGACAACACUGACGCUCAUGCACGAAAGCGUGGGGAGCAAACAGGAUUAGAGACCCCUGUAGUCCCUGUCUCUUAUAA
rnacentral:rRNA from 1 species